UUGCCUACCCAGGAAAUCAUUCAUACGUUUGUUUCAAAGAUUAAGCGAUGUGUAAGUAUAAACUAAUUUAAAUUGUGAAAUUGUUAAUGGUUCAUUAAAUCAAUUAUAGUUUGUUUGAUGGAACUUGCUACUCGGAUAAUCAUAGUAAUUUUAUAGCUAAUACGUGUAACAAACCCCAACUUCUAGAAGGGAUGCAUUUAUUAGAUAAAAGGCCGACGCGAGAUCUGCAUGUUGCUCUAAUGAUUCAUGAUAACUAGACGGAUCACACGGCCUUCGUGUCGGCGAUGCAUCAUUUAAAUUUCUACCUUGUCAACUUUCGAUGGUAGUAUAGAGAUUUAUCAUGGUGGCAACGAAUGACGGAGAAUUAGGGUUCGAUUCUAGAGAGGAAGCCUAAGAAACGACUACCACAUCCAAGGAAGGCAGUAGGCGCACAAAUUACCCACUCUUGACACGGGGAGGUAAUGACAAUAAGUAACAAUAUUGGGCUCAUUGAGUCUGGUAAUUGGAAUGAAUACAUUCUAAAUCCCUUAACGAGAAUUCAUUGGAUGGUAAGUCUAAUGCUAGUAGUCGCGGUAAUUCUAGCUCUAUUAACUUAUGUUUAAGUUGUUGUAGUUAAAAAAACUUUUUGUUGGACUUUGGGUUGGGUUGACCAGUCCAUCUAUGGUGUGAACUGGUUGCGUCAUCCCUUCUACCAACAAUGCGCAACUAGCCGAGUCAUGCCUCUGGUGCUGUUACUUUGAAGAAAUUAGAGUGAUCAAAGCAAGUAUAUGCUUUGAAUACAUUCGCGACCAGCUUCUUAGAGGGACUAUGGCCUUCUA
rfam:Populus trichocarpa scaffold_8_contig_195, whole genome shotgun sequence.